GACUGGGCCUGAGGAAACCAGAGCCCUCAGGCCCUGCCUCCUCCUCCUCCUCAGCAGCAAGCGCUGUUCCUGGGACCUCUUAGCCCCUGGAUUCAUAGAAACGACUUUGAAGCCUGAAGCUGCUGACAGGCUACUGGACAGAGGAAACUCUCUGAGAUAUAAUUACAGAACCAACUCACAGUUUGUCUAUAAAGAGAAUGGACUCUCUUCCAUCAGAUAAAACUCCUGUGUCUGGAAGCCAGGAAUACUAGGAAGAAUCCUAUCAAGUUCAGGGUCUUUCUGUGUAGUCCAGACUGAUCUUGAAUUCAAG
ensembl:lncRNA